UCGCCUGUUUAUCAAAAACAUAGCCUACUAUUUAACUUAGGUACAACCCUGCCCUUUGACUUUUAACAGCCGCGGUAUCCUAACCGUGCUAAGGUAGCAUAAUCACUUGCCUAUUAAUUAUAGGCUAGAAUGAACGGGAUCACUCACUUAAACUUAUUUUUAUUUAAAUUUAAAUUAAACUUUAAGUCAAAAUACUAAAUUAAAAAGAAAGACAAAAAGACCCUGAAAACUAUUAGAAAUAAUUAGUUGGGGCAACUAUAGACCACUCUAGCGUCUAUUUUUUUUAAACUCUUAAAAUCUAAAGUAUCCAGUUACUUCAGGGAUAACAGACUAAUUUUAUUAUUUAGACCCAAUAAAUAAUAAAGAUUGGCACCUCGAUGUUGGCUUAUAUUUCCUUCAUAUAGCAACAUAUAUAGAAGGCAGCUUGUUCAUCUGUUAAAUAUUUACAUGAGCUGAGUUCAGACCGGCGUAAGCA
rnacentral:rRNA from 1 species